rnacentral:rRNA from 1 species
GAUGAACGCUAGCUACAGGCUUAACACAUGCAAGUCGCGGGGCAGCAUGGGGGUUGCUUGCAACUGCCGAUGGCGACCGGCGCACGGGUGAGUAACGCGUAUCCAACCUGCCCUUCACCACGGGAUAACCCGGCGAAAGUCGGACUAAUACCGUAUUUUGUCCAUUCACGGUAUCCGAUUUGGACGAAAGGCUUUGCGGUGAAGGAGGGGGAUGCGUCCGAUUAGCCAGACGGCGGGGUAACGGGCCACCGUGGCUACGAUCGGUAGGGGUUCUGAGAGGAAGGUCCCCCACAAUGGAACUGCGACACGGACCAGAAUGCUACGGGGGGGAGCAGUGAGGAAUAUUGUUCGAUGGGCGUAAGCCUGAACCAGCCAAGUGGCGUGCAGAGGGACGGCGCUAUGGGUUGUAAGCUACUUUUAUGCGGGGAUUAAGUGGGCAACGUGUGGGCUUUUGCAGGUACCGCAUGAAUAAGGACCGGCUAAUUACGUG